rnacentral:lncRNA from 1 species
CUAAGUCUGAAGGCCUGAGAAACAGAGCAGCUGACCAUGUAACUCUCAGUCCAAGCCUGAAGGCCUGAGAACCUGGGAUGCCACUGGUAUAAGUCCCUAAGUUGAAGGCCAGGGAACCUGGAGUUUCAAUGUCUGAGGGCAGGAGAAGACAGAUGUCCCAGCUCCAGAAGAGCGACAGUGAAUUCACCCUUCCUCUUCCUUUUUGAUCUCUCCAGACCCCCAAGCCACUGAAUGGCACCCACCCACAUUGGGGAGGACAGAUCUUUACUCAGUCUAAAGAUUCUAAUGCUAAUCUCUGUCACAGAUGCAUCCAGCAAUAAUGUUUUACCAGCUAUGAGGUUAUCCCUUAACCCCGUGAAGUUGACACCUGAAAUUAACCAUUGCAGUUACAAUGAAGUCAAGGCAAAGGAAUAACCCUGUGGAUUCCCCACCAGAGUUGUGUUUUCUGUCUUUCUCCACCACUUCUUCCUCACUCAGUGCCAACAGAGCACAAGAGGCAUGAGGCAAUAACUUGAUUUUAACUCAGAGAUGAAA